AUUUUGCGGUGGUUUCUGACGUACAACAAGUAAGUCAAACUUCCUUUGUUGCCUGGUCUUAGACUUCUUGUGCUGUGCUAGACGAGCCUUCUCAGUGAAGUCAAACACCUUUUUAAGAGUAUUCUCAUCUAGAAGCAUUGUCAGUCUCCGUCGGAUCCGCUCCUCUUGAGAUUUUAGCAUGUCGAUGGUAAAAUUUGUCUGCCUCACCCGUUCAUUAAGCAACUUAUGCUGUGCUAGUUAGCCAUCCUCAGAUGAGAGCAUAGGAGCAUGCAGGUGACUUCUCAUGUGGUCCGCUAUCCUUCUCUCUCCCUUGAAGGUGUUCAUGCAGAAGUCCAGAAAGUGAAGUUGCUGUACUGUUUUAUGUUUAUUUUGAACAGUUUGAACAGUUCUGGGAGAAUAAAUCUGCCCCAGCUGGCAAAGAGAGAGCUGAAUCCUCUGGUUAUUUACACAACACAACGCAGAGAACUAACGGCAAACGGAGUUUAAGGCCAGACCGGCUACAUAAGCAAUGAGCCAAAUUUAGUAAUGCCAACAUACUGAAGGAACAACAUUUGUCUCUUAUAUAUGAUACACCUAUAUAUGCACUGUCAAAGAUACUUGUCUUUGAGUGAAGAUUUAAGGUGAUAAGACAUAUCAAUAACUGCAACUUGAAUCUGUACUGAGGCUCAGUAUUUGACACAGAGUUCAUGUUCACUGCUGUAAUAGCUAAUAAUGAUUAAUAUAACUAUAAUAUUGGCC
rnacentral:lncRNA from 1 species